rnacentral:lncRNA from 1 species
CCCUGGCACACUUCCUCCUCACAGCCACCUGAUAGAGUUGGUGAUGUGGCCCCUGUUCUUUCAACUCUGUUGUGGCCCAGAGAGGUUCAGUGACUUGCCCAGGGUCACCCAGCUGCUUGAAGGCAGGCUUUAUGGACCCCCCCCUGGAAGCUUUUCCGCAGGUCAUGCAGCCUCCCCAGCAAGGUGAACCACAGUCGUUGUGGCCAGUGAAUUCAGGACGUGCCACUCCUGACCUCCUAGAGAUGCUCCACCCUUGACCUUCCAGGGAGGCCAAAGGGUGACAGGGCUUCCUGAGACCCACCUGAGCCUGUGGCCACAGAGAGCAUUCCAGCUUUUGUAUAAAUACCAUGGUCAUUUUUCUCGGGCCUGAAGCAGCUCUCCGUGGACUGUAACCAAGGCACGUUCCUUCUCCAGGCCUCAGUUUCGCCAUCUGUAAAGUGGCGCGAUAACACUUACCCUGUCUACUUCCCCGGGCUGUGGGGAAAACGCAGCGAGGAGACGUGGGUGGCAGACUUUUCAAAAGAGAGGCAGGCGGUGCUCAGAGUUUAUUUGUUCCUUCCUUGAGAAGAUACUGCAUAUCAAGGCCCGUGCUGGUGGGGAUGGGAACAGGGGUGUGGGCUGGAGGUCAAGAGGCCAGCGCCCACCCGGCCCCGCACCCCUCCCUCCUGCCCUGGGAGUUGCUUUGACCUGUCCCUGCUUGGUGAUGGGGGAAAACAGGAGACCUUGGGGCACAGGUCUGGGCUGCCAGCCAGGACCCAGGGGUCUCCACAUCUCACCCCCUCCCCGGAUGUGACAAUGGCCCCUCUCAGGCCUCUUGGGACACAGGACCUCAGCAGCAGCUCCGUAGCAGCAAGGAGGAAGGAGAGGGAUGCGGUGGGGACUUCGGCGGCACUUGAGACGUUGUCAUGGCCUCGUGGCUGGACCACACUCGAGAUUUGAGAAGGGGUUUGGGGGCUGGAUCCCUGCCACCAGCUUCUCAUGACCUUCAGUGUGAGGCCGGCUGUGCUGGCCACGGUCCUUGGCAGACUGAGGUUUUACAUUUAGGGACUUGGGCUUGUCCCCGUCCUCAUGAGCCCCGUUCCGAGCACAGAGUAGGUCCUCAGUAAGUGGUUGCUGGCUUACAGGAGACGGACUCACCCACUGCUGGGAGUGCGGCCGUGUGCGCCUGGCUCUGCGGCUCCACUCGUGCUUUGGGGGGGGUGAGUGUGUGUCUGGGGGUUGGAAUGGCCCUCUCUGUAACUACUGCUGUGCAUACCGAGGGUGUGUGUGUGUGUCAGUGUGUGUCUGUGUGGGUGGGUAUCGCCCUUCAAACAGAGAUGGGGUUCAUCCUCAUUGCUUGUGCCCCCCAAAUCAGAGGCCCCCUGAGCACAGCUGGAGGGACCCUUGACGUGACUUCUGCGGCCUCUGCAGCGGCUCACCCUUCGCCUCGACUUCCACGUCCCCCUGACAGACGUGGCUCCUUUAAGGAGGAGCAGGAAGUGGUCUAAGAUCCUUGAGGAGGGGGCAAGGCUGCGGGGGUGGGGUUGGGAGGUGGGUGUUGGGCAGCACUGCCCUGGUGGGAGGAGCAGAGGCCGGAAGCUUGAGGGGUCCACACAGCUCUGCUGGGAGCCUCUCCCUCCCUGACCAGGCUGCCCCCACCCAUGAGCCGGUCCCCAGCAGACACUGGCGCCCAGGGUGACGACACGUGGAGGGAGGUGAGUCGGGGGGAAGCCCUAGGACAGGCGGCCUGUGUCCGCUGUGGGCCCUCCCAUCCCAAAGCCACAGCCCCGGGCUUGGCACCCGUCCGCUUGUGGUUGGGCAUCCCAGGGCCGCAUCCGUGGCUUGGUGAGAACUCCCGAGAGCCCCUCGCCACUGCGGGCAGCGGGCUCCCAUGGGACCCUGCAAAGGCAGAGUGGGGUGCGGUCAUUCCCUCCCUAGAGGCAGGGCCUGGGGGCUGGGCUGGCAAUGAUGUAAGUGCGGAGAUGAGCUGGGCUUUAGGAAGCAAGAGUGGUCACCAGACUGCCUCUGGCAGGUGUGUGCUGUAACCCUUGCCUCCAGGCGGGCAGGGGAUGAGGAGAGAUUGCCUGGCAGGUGCAGGUCCGCUCCGCUUGUUGACUGCAGGUAGAAUGAGGCCCAGCAUUUGUGGGUUUGGGGACCGUUUGUAAGUGGGUGUUGGUCCGUGGGUUUGGGAAUUAGCUGGCUGAGUCGAUCUCUGUGACCUGGAGGCUGCUGGUUCAUUUGGGUGAGCGCGGCGAGCACGGACGAGCCCAGCUGGAGUUUAUCUGCUAGUUGGGGAAUUAGCGGGCGGGUGGGGAUGACCUGGCUGGAGUUUCUCUGUUGAGCUGGGAACUGUCUGGAUUUGGGGGUGUCCCAUCUCGUAGACCAGCUGCUCCCCCUCCCCCCCUUCCUCGCAGAUGACGGGAAGUUGUCCUUGGAGGAAUUCCAGCUCUUCUUUGCAGACGGCGUCCUCAACGAGAAGGAACUGGAGAAUCUCUUCCACACCAUCGAUGCUGACAACACCAACCAUGUGGACACCAAGGAGCUGUGUGAUUACUUUGUGGACCACAUGGGGGACUACGAGGACGUCUUGGCCUCCCUGGAGACCUUGAAUCACUCUGUCCUGAAGGCCAUGGGCUACACCAAGGAGGUGUAUGAGGGGGGAAGCAACGUGGACCAGUUUGUGACUCGCUUCCUCUAAAGGAGACGGCCAAUCAGAUCCAGUCCCUGCUGAGCUCGGUGGAAAGCGCGGUGGAGGCCAUCGAAGAGCAGACCAGCCAGAUCCGGCAGAACCACAGCAAGCCCAGCCACAGCAUGGUGGAGGCCUGGUCUGGGAGCCGGCUCCCCCCUACACCCCCAACCACAAGUUCGUGGCCACGGAUCAGGGGAAGAACUUCCCGCCUGUCACUUCGGACCCCAAAGAGGAGGGCCUGGAAGCCCAGGUCAGCAGGUUGGCAGAGCUGAUAGGACGGCUGGAGAACAGGACCCUGUGGUUUGACCUUCAGCAGCAUCUCUUGGAUGAAGAAGGCACCAAUAUGCAUCUGCAGCUCGUCCGGCAGGAGAUGGCCGUGUGUCCCGAGCAGCUGGGGGAGUUCCUGGGCUCCUGCGUCAAUACUUGCGGGGCACCUCCGGAGCCAGGCACUGCUUCCAGUGAGUAAGCCGAGGGUGGGGUACUGGGGGCGAGGGGACCAGCCACACUCCAGACCCCAGAGAAGUGCCUAGCAGGGUGGCUGCAGGAGCUGGGUGGUGACAGGCGCUGGCUUCAAGUCUUAGCUCAGGCUCUUCCUUGCUGUGCAAACGUGGCGAGUGCCGUCCUCUCCCUGACCUCAACUUACUCAUCUGUAAAGUGGGACUGUUCACAGGACCCGCUCCCUGGGGUGGCUGGAGGCAUCCAUGAGGUCAGGACCGUGGAGGCAGGUAGCCAGUGCCGCCCCAGUGCCUGCUCCAUAUUAGCUGCUACAGCUGCUGUGCGGCUGCCCUCAGGGGCCUCAACCUCUGCUGCCCGUGGCUUCAGAGCCAGAGGCUGGCAGCUCUCCUCCGUGCUGAGGGUGGUCCCAGAGGAGCGAGAGCCCCAUCUCCCAUCUGUACCCCCCCCAGCCCCCCUUCAGUGCCCAGCAGACAGUAGCUGUAGACUCCGGGCCUCGGGGGCAGAGCCUAGGGAAGAGGGGGCUCAGGGGAGGGACUGCACCUGCACCGAGGCCUGAGUGAGGAGCAGCCCCUCCCCCAGAACCAGAGGCAGGCGACUAGCCAGCAGCCGGUGUGGCAUGACAGAGCGAGGGUGGGAGAGGGCCAGGGCGGUGACAGGCCCCGCUCGUGUCCACCCAAAGCCUCUGCCUGGUCCAGGUACCAGGGACCACGUGGGAGAGGAUGAGGCAGGAGGGGACCCUUUGGCCCUUGUGUGAAGAAGGGGUGAGGACAAGCGUGCUGCUGGGCAGCCAGGGAGAGAGGCACUGCCAGCCCCCGGAGGGGCACUUGGCCUUGGCCCGCCCUGGGCAGAGCUGGGAUCUGUUUUGGAGCGAGGCUGACCAGACUUGGCCGUGGCUGAGAUGGGGCCGGUGUAGGAGGAGGAGGCGUGUGGAAUCCGAGAUUCUUUGGCUUCAGAAACUUGAUCGAGGCUCGGGCCGCGUGCUGAGCUGGGAAGUCGGGGAAGGUCAGGGCUGGGGGCGGGGAUGUCACACGAGCCCCAUUCAACUCCAGAUGCCCGUGGAGGUGCUGACUUGCAGGUGGGGAGAUCUUGUGCAUGGUGGGCGCAAGAGAGGUCACCCAGAGUCCCAGGAGCUGUGUGGUCACCACGGGAGAAAACGUGGAAGGAGAGGGGGCUGAGGGGGGACAAGAGGAGGCAGCAGACCUCGGAGUUUCCCUUCUGUUUGUUGAAUGACUGUGUGUCCUCCCUGCACCCCGAGCUUUGCUGUGUCUCCCCACCUGCCCAGAAGCCUCUUCCCCCCCGCCCCCACUGAAAAGCAAUCCGUGCCUUGGCCAAGAGCAUGCAGUCAGCAUAAUUGCUGCCCUCGCCCUGCUGCAGUAAGCAGGCUCAGAUGAACCACGCUGCUCGGUGACCUCUGUCAACAGGGACAGGCCCGUAAAGGGGGUGUGCCUUUUGGAAGGGCCGUGGGGGUGGGGGGCCCUGCAUGCCCAGCCCCCUUCUCUCAGCCUCAGGGGUGAUGAUAGGCUGGAACGCAAUGAGCUACUGACACGAUGCGGCCUUGUUUCCAUGCUCUGUCCUGCACGGCAGAAGCUGGAACUGCCUGUAGAGACACGGCAGCCACCCCCCCAGGGCAGGACAUCCCCUUGGAGGGGAGGCUUGGGGCUCUGAGCUGCUGAGCACAGGAAAGAGGACGGGGACCCAGAACGCGGUGAGAGGCCAGAUGGGGCGCCUUUAAAGGAUGAGACACUGGAGGCAUGGCCUCCACCUCUCCAGGGGGCCACCGCCUUGGAGGCUCCUUCCCCUGGGCAGGGGGGGCCUCCAGCCAGGGUCUAUCCAUCCUGUUUUCAAAGAGGCGGAUGGUCUGCGGUUCAUACAGGUAAGCCACUGGUCCCCUGCGAUUGGACCACGUCUGAUGCUCAUACUUUUAAGGAUUAAAUUAGGGAUUAGGUAAAUUCCCGUCGUGGCUCAGCAGAAACAAAUCUGACCAGAAUUCAUGAGGAUGCAGGUUCAAUCGCUGGCCUCGCUCAGUGGGUUAAGGAUCCAGCAUUGCUGUGAGCUGUGGUGUAGGUCACAGACACAGCUUGGAUCUGGCGUGGCUCUGGCAUAGGCGGGUGGCUAGACCCCUAGCCUGGGAACCUCCAUAUGCCCCAGGUGCGG